rnacentral:rRNA from 1 species
GAUGAACGCUGGCGGCGUGCCUAAUACAUGCAAGUCGAGCGAACAGAUGAGGAGCUUGCUCCUCUGACGUUAGCGGCGGACGGGUGAGUAACACGUGGAUAACCUACCUAUAAGACUGGGAUAACUUCGGGAAACCGGAGCUAAUACCGGAUAAUAUAUUGAACCGCAUGGUUCAAUAGUGAAAGACGGUUUUGCUGUCACUUAUAGAUGGAUCCGCGCCGCAUUAGCUAGUUGGUAAGGUAACGGCUUACCAAGGCAACGAUGCGUAGCCGACCUGAGAGGGUGAUCGGCCACACUGGAACUGAGACACGGUCCAGACUCCUACGGGAGGCAGCAGUAGGGAAUAUUCCGCAAUGGGCGAAAGCCUGACGGAGCAACGCCGCGUGAGUGAUGAAGGUCUUCGGAUCGUAAAACUCUGUUAUUAGGGAAGAACAAAUGUGUAAGUAACUAUGCACGUCUUGACGGUACCUAAUCAGAAAGCAACGGCUAACUACGUG